UAGAGUGGUUGUAGACUAGACGGAAUCAAUUAUGUAUGUGUGCCUGUGAAAAUUGAUGAAUUGGGAAAUGAUGACCAGAUUGAUGAAGCUAGGAUUGAUGCUUCGACACCAAGUAUUGUAUCUCCUACAGAAGCAAGUAAUGGCAAUGAUAAGGUUGAAGAACCUAAAUCUGAUGCACAAAGAACAUGGUUACAUCUCCUCUGGAAGAAAGUAAUUGCAGUAAUGAGGUUCAAGAAACCAGAAAUGAUGUUAGUGUCCUCAAACACCACCGAGAUCUCCGAGCCUAGAUCUUUACUCUGAAGAACCUCCUGAAUUGACUUAUAGCAUUCGGCGGGACCAUUUGAGAAUUAAGAAUGCAGCUAAGAGAACAUCAGGCA